rnacentral:rRNA from 1 species
UACGUAGGGGGCGAGCGUUGUCCGGAAUCAUUGGGCGUAAAGCGCGUGUAGGCGGCCCGGUAAGUCCGCUGUGAAAGUCCAGGGCUCAACCCUGGGAUGCCGGUGGAUACUGUCGGGCUCGAGUCCGGAAGAGGCGAGUGGAAUUCCUGGUGUAGCGGUGAAAUGCGCAGAUAUCAGGAGGAACACCAAUGGCGAAGGCAGCUCGCUGGGACGGUACUGACGCUGAGGCGCGAAAGCGUGGGGAGCAACAGG